UAGCAAAUUGCUGAUGCUGUGUACUGAACUUGUUUUGUUAGUUUCACAGACUUUGAACGUGAUCUCUUUUUUUUUAUUGUAGUCAACACUUCUCAUGUGCUUAAAGAGAUUGACUGCCUAAAUAGAUUGAGCACUGCAUUCUAAACUGAAAUCAUGUUUUAUUCUAGUGAUCCCUUAGCCAUAGGUCUUAUCCUUUGUUGUUAAAUAAUAAAUAUGAAUUCCUAGGAAGCUAUCUUUGUUGUUAAAUACUUGAUGUUAACUUGUUCAAGUUUUUAUGUUGUAUUUGUGAAGUAAAAUCUUUAGAAAAUGGUUGAAUGUGACAAUAUCCACCCUCUUAUCCGUGAGAAUGGAACUGCAAUGAUCAAGGUCAAGAACCGGCUUUUAUCCUCCUUUUCUUCUCUAGAACUGGUAAUAGCAAUCUUUUCUAAUAUCUCAUAGCAUGUAUUGACAUAGUUAUACCACGAUAUGCAAAAAUGUACUAGAAAUAUUCUGUACAUGAAUUUUAUGCUACUCUUUCUGAAUUAAGCAAUAAAAGAAUCGAGUUCCACAAAACUAUGAACUUUGCGAAUACACCAUGUGUCACUGUAAAUGCACAAAUAGCUAUACCUAAAAUCCUGACUACUCUUCAAGGUUUGUUUUUAAUAUUUCGAAAUUGAUUGAUUUAUCAAUUCCUGUUGUCGUUUGUGGCUGAAAUGUUGUUUUAGGCUAGUUCCUUUCAGGUUCCUUCUGCAUGUCUCGCAAGUGUUAGUACUUCACUGAAAUUAUUUUUGGAAAAUCAAAAUUAGCUUGUAUAGAUGCCAGAUGCUUCUUAUUUUUAUUAUUCAAUAGAUUCAGUGAUAAGACUGAGUGCUUCUCUUGUGCAGAUCAAUUAUGAUUCUACAUGGAAGUCUGAAGUGCCGCAUCUGCGAAGACCUACAUUGUAAGGCAAUCUGACCAGGAACUGAAUGAAGUUCACAACACAGGCUUUCAGUGUCCAAUCGCUAGCCACGGUCCUGUCGCGUGAGAAGAUGCUGGCCCAUGACAUCAUUCUUAUUAUGCGCAACUUUUCAGGCUAGAAGCAGAUGAAGAAAGAAUUUUGAAAGAAGAUCAAGCUUAUGAAGGUGGAUCUGAAAGGAAUCAAGGGAAAGAUAUGUGAUGGUUCUGACCCAUAGAUGUCAGGCUCACCUGGUAAUGGUUUCUGUGCUUUGGCUCUGUCAAGAUGACAUUGCGGACACCUGCAUCGAAUACAGCAUCUGAAUGUUUACAGAUCCUCAGGAAAGCGAUUAUUUCAGGAUACUUAGCCCAUUUCUUCUUCAGCUCCUUGCCAUGGAGCUAAAAAGGCCAGUAGUGAACAAACAUAUAAGUAGCUGCAUGGUUGGAUAGCUGGUGAUAGUUCAGCUCAACCAAACACUCUUAGUGGACAAGAUUGCUUUGGGACGGAAAACCCUUGUAGGAUGUUGUUCCUUUAUCUUUUUUCAGAUUCAGAUACAUUCAGUUAAUUCAUUGCUUGCUGCCCGACCUUGUAGUCUAGAACUAGUUGAUCUCACUUUAUGUAAAGUGUAUAAUAGAUGAAACAUGUAUACUUGUGAUGCAUAUGAUGGAUAAGAUAUGUGUAUUAAUAAGAUAUAUUGUAUGCCUUA